CCUACGGGUGGCUGCAGUGAGGAAUAUUGGUCAAUGGACGAGAGUCUGAACCAGCCAAGUAGCGUGAAGGAUGACUGCCCUAUGGGUUGUAAACUUCUUUUAUAUGGGAAUAAAAUGUUCCACGUGUGGGAUUUUGUAUGUACCAUAUGAAUAAGGAUCGGCUAACUCCGUGCCAGCAGCCGCGUUAAUACGGAGGAUCCGAGCGUUAUCCGGAUUUUUUGGGUUUAAAGGGAGCGUAAGUGGAUUUGUAAGUCAGGUGUGAAAGGUUGCGGCUCAACCGUAAAAUUGCAGUUGAAACUGGCAGUCUUGAGUACAGUAGAGGUGUGCGGAAUUCGUGGUGUAGCGGUGAAAUGCUUAGAUAUCACGAAGAACUCCGAUUGCGAAGGCAGUUCACUGGACUGCAACUGACACUGAGGCUCGAAAGUGUGGGUAUCAAACAGGAUUAGAUACCCUUGUAGUC
rnacentral:rRNA from 1 species